UCCUUAGAGAGCAUGUAACUGGCCCAGAAUAAUACAGCUGGCUCAUGGCAGACCUGGUGCCCAAGCCAAUGCUUUGUCUUACAACCGAACACCCCGGUGUUUCUCAAAUGUGCUGCUUUAAUGAUUUUUUACUAAAUGUGUUCCCUUUCUUUUGAUAAAACUUCAUUGUUUUAUGUUUAUGUCUACAUUACCAUAUAGUUUUUCCCAGAAAAAGGCUUUGUUUAUGAAUAUGUGCAGCAUCGAUUUAUUCAACUUACGGUUUUUAACUGAUGAGAUCACUAAUAUGGUUCAACUGGUAAAACAUAUCGGCAGCCUGCCUGGUAUCAUGGGUUUGUAAUAAAGGGAAGAAGUCCUUACUCAUAAGCCAUUAAGAAGAGUUCUCCUGGAAAUCACGCGCCUGUGUCCCAGUUGCAAGAGGCCAGUAAAGUGAAUGGCUAGCAUUCUGAGUGUCUGCAGUGGGAAGAGUUCUUUCAGCAAAGCAGAAAGGGGAAAAGCAAGUGGUGGUGAUCAGCAGUGUCUACUUCAACUUUGAAGCCUAAAACAAUGUGAAGUAUUUCUAGUUAGAAUCACAACAUACCACA
rnacentral:lncRNA from 1 species